GGGUUUUUGUUGGUUCAUUCCUCCCGAGCUUCUGGCACAACACAGCAGUAAAUGUUGGCCUAUUGUUACGGAUUAAUUUACCGAAACGAUCGGAUUGUGUGACAGUUACAGCCAUAGUGGAGAGAAGCGUUUGACUUACGUCCACUGUGCAGUAUAGCGCAUCCGGUCUUGGGGGUUCGAUUGCUGCCGCACCCUCUCAGUGAUCAAUCGCCUGAUUUUAAGUGAAGAGUUGAAACGCCUGCCUAGCUGCUGUUUCAGGGCUCCUCUGCAGUGGAGCUGCUGUCUUGUUUUGCUCCUGCUGUUUUGCCUCGCCUCGCCUCGUUGGGGCUUUGGGGUUUUACUUUGAGCUCCUUCUGGACUAUUCUUUGCACUCCAGCUCAGUGGCGUGUCCAGCA